rnacentral:pre_miRNA from 1 species
CAGGUAUGUCUGCGGUGAGGCUGGUAAAACUCGGCAGGUUUCACUGUAGAUCUACCUGCG